rnacentral:tRNA from 1 species
GGGGAUGUAGCUCAGUGGUAGAGCACUUGCUUUGCAUACAAGAGGCCUUGAGUUUUGUCCCCA